AUUGAACGCUGGCGGCAGGCCUCACACAUGCAAGUCGAGCGGAGCGGCGGAAGGGUGAGUAAUGCCUAGGAAUCUGCCUGGUCGUGGGGGAUAACGGACGGAAACGGGCGCUAAUAACGCAGACUAUUAGAUGGGCCUAGGUGGGAUUAGCUAGUUGGAGGGGUAACGGCCUAACAAGUCGACGACCCGUAACUGGUCUGAGAGGAAGAUCAGUCACACUGGAACUGGUACACGGUCCAGACUCCUACGGGGGGCAGCAGUGGGGAAUAUUGGACAAUUGGCGAAAGCCUGAUCCAGCCAGGCCGCGUGUGUGAAGAAGGUCUUCGGAUUGUAAAGCACUUUAAGUUGGGAGGCGUUACCAACAGAAUAAGCACCGGCUAACUUCGUGCCAGCAGCCGCGGUAAGAC
rnacentral:rRNA from 1 species